GUUUUGUGGCUAAGUCUGUCAAGGUGUGGUGGGGUAGUGAUGAGACAGCAAGCUGGUGUAUGUUUCCUAUGAGAGGUAGUCGCCAUGGCCCUGGAGGGAGCUUUGAAGUUGAGCUAUUGGGUUUGGUUGUGUUAAUCAAGAUUUUGAGUACGAUGAAAAUGAAGAGCAGGAAGGCCAAGAGGAGAGGUGGUGAUGGAAACUGAAGCUCCAUUGAUCAGUAUCAUAGCAAGGUGAUAUGGAAGAGAGGUCAAGACUCGAAGAUUAAACAAUCGGAUUUGGAAGCCCAUUGUGAGCGUUCUGGAGGACAAGUUUAGAAGGGGUCUUUAGCUGAGCAACUGUUUUGAAGUCUUUUGAGUUGUUUUGAGUGCCUCUGAGUUAGGGCUAGGCCUGGAAGGCCGUUGUCAAGCUUUUGCUUAUGAUGUACACUUGUGACAUGUGCUUAUGUUUUGUAUAAGAUAUUAUGUUAUCGUUAUGUAUUGUAAAUGGGUAAAUUAACGUUUUUGCAUGUACAUAUUUAUUAAUAUAGAUGCACAGCUCAUUGGACUAUUGGUGUUUUUGUC